rnacentral:rRNA from 1 species
GACGGAGGGUGCAAGCGUUGUUCGGAAUUACUGGGCGUAAAGGGCGCGUAGGCGGUCUGUUAAGUUCGGUGUGAAAGCCCCCGGCUCACCUGGGGAACUGCGCCGGAAACCGACAGACUCGAGUACCGGAGAGGAGGGUGGAAUUCCUGGUGUAGCGGUGAAAUGCGUAGAUAUCAGGAGGAACACCGGUGGCGGAGGCGGCCCUCUGGACGGAUACUGACGCU